GGGGGUGAAAAGGUUUCGACGGGAUUGGUGAGGGAUUGUCGGCGUGCCGAGGGACUCCGGAUUACUCGUUAAACAUCCGGUACACUUUAUAAAUGGCGAAUAUGAUUAUGCCAUGGCUGCCUAAGAUAAAUUAGGCUACCCGUUCCCCCGGUUUGUCGCCUUUCCGGACCGGAUGGAGCGUCGAGCAGAAAGGCUAAGCCGGCCUGACGCCUUUGGGGUCGGAUGAAAAUCAUAAAGGCUGGUUCUUUUCCUGGCCUGCCGUUCGGCAGGGAAAGGAACGAGAAAUUAUAGAGUCGGCUACGCACGUAGAUGAUGAUCUGGCGCCUUUUUCGGACGGGGGUUCGAUUCCCCCCACCUCCAA
rnacentral:tmRNA from 1 species